rnacentral:lncRNA from 1 species
GCGCUUUAGCCCACUCGGCCACCGAUCCCCCCACGUACAGCGUGCCGCUAUGGCCACAUUGUGCAAAAAUGUGCUUCGAAGAAAACAUUAGUGCUAUAGUGCCGUUAUCAUUCUUGCAAGGAGCUUUUCAUUGGAAAUUCAUAUAUUCUAGUGACAAUGUGUUGCUUCUUCCCAAUUCAGACAUCCGAAAUCAUGCGAGAAAUCGCACGAGGGUCGGCAGUGCCACAGCACAGAGGUUGCUAAUGCAAAUUUCCGAUGGAAAUGCAUCCGAUGUCGGCCUCUCUGUUAAGGAGGACAGAGAGCCUCAUCGAUCUGCGAGUACAGGCGCUUUAAAUAUUUGGAUGACAUUGUUAACUGCUUAGCUAAGUUAAAGAGAAUGCCUUUUGUCACUUAGGUCAACCCCCUGGAACACGAGGCAGGCCUUCAGGGCUGCAACAGCCGGCUCCUGCUCCAGAGGAAAAUGAUGAAGCGGAGGAAGCGCGUAAUCAAAAGGUGCAGACUGUUUGGACAAGCAGCGAUUUCGAGCCCCCUGACACAACAUUGGAUGACAACCACAUGACUUUAGAGGAGGUGGCUGAGCCAUGGGAAUACUUUCGAAGGUCUGACUAAAUAUCACAGUAUGGGAACAGACCAAUCACGAAUCAAGGCGUUGUAUGCCAGUCAUGAGUCUGUUCUCCGUUGACAACAUGGCAGCUCCUCCAGUGGCUCCUUGCUCAGAAGCACUCAUCAUCGAAAUUGAGCGGUGUCCAUGGCUAUGGAACGCAAGCCGUAUGGACUACAGGGACACUGGGAAGCGCAAAAAUUCCUGGAAGGCAAUUGGAAUCGCUUUCUGUGAGUAUGACCUCUUAACAGAACUAUAUAAUUUGCGCCUCAACCCAGGGCACCUCUGGACGGCCUGCCUUCGUCGCACGCUUGUUGCCUUCUGUCUAACUUUCACUAUGCAUGAACGUUCCCGUUCACGGUCAGCUGCACGCGCCUGGGCGUACACUCGAAGCUCGCAAGACGCCAAAGUGUUAUCAAAGAUUUGUUUUGGGUCACGCCGGAGGCGAUAGUGCCAAUAGACUUCCCUGCCAUUCGCAAAGAAACGUUUGCGAAGUUCUGCAUGCCAAAUCAAGGAAGGCCGUCGCAUACCUCAGCGAUUAAUUUACAUCACCUGGGAUUCUUUGAACGUGAAACUGAAAUCUCGGUUACCUGGCACCUUCUCUCCAGCUAGGAUUCCAACCCACCAACUGGGGAUUCGAUUCUUUGGGCCGGCGGUUUGCCUCGGAGCCACAGAUGCGGCCUCCCUGCAGCUGUCUGUGACCAUUCACGUCCGAGUGGGCAGCGCACACCCACCCACAACCCACUGCUCGCACCUCUCGUUUGCGUACCUCGCAUAACCAUUUCCCAAAGGCAUGGCACGAAAUGGGAAGCCAUUAUUAAUCGAGCGAUCAGUAAUGAAGAGAUCAAACAGGCAGAACAUAAAAAGACUACAUUUCAAGAUGCUGAAGGAGGUUUGUAAAGUUUGGGUUGAAUACUGGCAAGCAAACCUGGUGCAUGUCUGUUGCACCUAUUGGCUGUCCUAAUUGAAGUUGUGUUAUAAAUCUAGUUCCAUCAUGAUUUCUGUUCUAAAACUUGUAUUCAUAAGCGAUACUUUAGUUAUUUAUGCCACAUUUACUUCAUUCACUUCAGGCAGCGACUCUAACGCCUGCUGUCAGGCUUGGCUGGCCAUGAGGGCCAAGUAUGCGAGAGAAUCGAAGAAACAAAGAGGCCGGAGCGGUGCUGGCCGCGAUGGUCUUGCCGUGCCAACAUGGCACCUCUUCAAGUAACUGGCCUUCCUUAAGGGCCAGAUUCAGCACCGACGGUGAUAUGCUACAUCACUUACUGCUAAGAACAAGCACAGUUGAUAUCGGGUCUGAGUUUAAAACAUUUUUACUCUCUUCCAUCAGCACCAAAGUGCUCCCUGUUGCGGGGGGAGUGGCGUCCACUUCUGCAGCGGCAGCAGACGUUGAAAAAUGAGGCGUGAGCCCAGAGGCAAGUUUGCUUACACGAGAUCCUUGCGGAAAUGUAUUGCCCUGGAGAGACCGCAACCCCCGCAGAAAAUAGACAGCCUGGGAUGCCUGCUGAUGCCGAGAUGGAAGACAUACUGGAGCAUGAAGACAUACAUUUUAUUUAACAACUGCCUUCGAUAAGCAUGUUUGCAAGUGGCUCCUGUGUAAUUACCCUUUUCUCACUCUCCUCUUUCAUUUAAGCGAUUGGCUAUUCUUGGAGGCAGGUCCAAA